GACCGCGUAGCUCAGUUGGAAGAGCAUUGGGCUAGAAUUCCAAAGGUCGUAGGUUCGAAUCCCACCGUGGCCG
rnacentral:tRNA from 1 species